AGAUUGAACGCUGGCGGCAGGCCUAACACAUGCAAGUCGAGCGGUAGAGAGGUGCUUGCACCUCUUGAGAGCGGCGGACGGGUGAGUAAUGCCUAGGAAUCUGCCUAGUGGUGGGGGAUAACGUUCGGAAACGGACGCUAAUACCGCAUACGUCCUACGGGAGAAAGCGGGGGACCUUCGGGCCUCGCGCCAUUAGAUGAGCCUAGGUCGGAUUAGCUAGUUGGUGAGGUAAUGGCUCACCAAGGCGACGAUCCGUAACUGGUCUGAGAGGAUGAUCAGUCACACUGGAACUGAGACACGGUCCAGACUCCUACGGGAGGCAGCAGUGGGAAUAGUUGGACAAUGGGCGAAAGCCUGAUCCAGCCAUGCCGCGUGUGUGAAGAAGGUCUUCGGAUUGUAAAGCACUUUAAGUUGGAGGAAGGUUGUAACUUAAUACGUUAGCUAACUUUGACGUUACCGACUAGAAUAAGCACCGGCUAACUCGUAGCCAGCAGCCG
rnacentral:rRNA from 1 species